AUCGCUUCAUAUGUUGAAAUCCCUCUUAAAGUUAAGUGAGGGAUGUUCAAGUGUUUGAAGCAUAAAUGAUUAGUUGAUAUUUAACCAUGUGACGCAUUUCAAUAGUAUUUCACUACUUGUUUCUGGCUAAGUUU